rnacentral:miRNA from 1 species
GUUCAGGGGUGAAGUUAAGAACCA